rnacentral:rRNA from 1 species
GAUGAACGCUGGCGGCGUGCCUAAUACAUGCAAGUCGAACGCUUCACUUCGGUGAAGAGUGGCGAGCGGGUGAGUAAUACAUAAGUAACCUGGCAUCUACAGGGGGAUAACUGAUGGAAACGUCAGCUAAGACCGCAUAGGUGUAGAGAUCGCAUGAACUCUAUAUGAAAAGUGCUACGGGACUGGUAGAUGAUGGACUUAUGGCGCAUUAGCUUGUUGGUAGGGUAACGGCCUACCAAGGCGACGAUGCGUAGCCGACCUGAGAGGGUGACCGGCCACACUGGGACUGAGACACGGCCCAGACUCCUACGGGAGGCAGCAGUAGGGAAUUUUCGGCAAUGGGGGAAACCCUGACCGAGCAACGCCGCGUGAAGGAAGAAGUAAUUCGUUAUGUAAACUUCUGUCAUAGAGGAAGAACGGUGGAUAUAGGGAAUGAUAUCCAAGUGACGGUACUCUAUAAGAAAGCCACGGCUAACUACGUG